AUCGCUUCUCGGCCUUUUUUGGCUAAGAUCAAGUGUAGUAUUUGUUCUUACCAGUUUAAAUAGCAAUUAUUGAACACUAUCUCUAUACCAAGCGCUGUGCCAAGUGCUUUACAUGUUUUGUUUUCAAUAUAUUUUUUCAAAAUAGUUCAGUGAUGUCUAAGGACUACUA
rnacentral:snRNA from 1 species